AGUGGCGAACGGGUGAGUAAUACAUCGGAACGUGUCCUGUAGUGGGGGAUAGCCCGGCGAAAGCCGGAUUAAUACCGCAUACGACCUAAGGGAGAAAGCGGGGGGAUCUUCGGACCUCGCGCUAUAGGGGCGGCCGAUGGCAGAUUAGCUAGUUGGUGGGGUAAAGGCCUACCAAGGCGACGAUCUGUAGCUGGUCUGAGAGGAUGAUCAGCCACACUGGGACUGAGACACGGCCCAGACUCCUACGGGAGGCAGCAGUGGGGAAUUUUGGACAAUGGGGGCAACCCUGAUCCAGCAAUGCCGCGUGUGUGAAGAAGGCCUUCGGGUUGUAAAGCACUUUUGUCCGGAAAGAAAGCCUCGUGGCUAAUAUCCGUGAGGGAUGACGGUACCGGAAGAAUAAGCGCCGGCUAACUACGUGCCAGCAGCCGCGGUAAUACGUGGGGUGCGAGCGUUAAUCGGAAUUACUGGGCGUAAAGCGUGCGCAGGCGGUCUGUUAAGACCGAUGUGAAAUCCCCGGGCUUAACCUGGGAACUGCAUUGGUGACUGGCAGGCUUUGAGUGUGGCAGAGGGAGGUAGAAUUCCACGUGUAGCAGUGAAAUGCGUAGAGAUGUGGAGGAAUACCGAUGGCGAAGGCAGUCUCCUGGGCCAACACUGACGCUCAUGCACGAAAGCGUGGGGAGCAAACAGAGAUUAGAUACCCUGGUAGUCCACGCCCUAAACGAUGUCAACUAGUUGUUGGGGAUUCAUUUCCUUAGUAAUGUAGCUAACGCGUGAAGUUGACCGCCUGGGGAGUACGGUCGCAAGAUUAAAACUCAAAGGAAUUGACGGGGACCCGCACAAGCGGUGGAUGAUGUGGAUUAAUUCGAUGCAACGCGAAAAACCUUACCUACCCUUGACAUGGUCGGAACCCUGCUGAAAGGUGGGGGUACUCGAAAGAGAACCGGUGCACAGGUGCUGCAUGGCUGUCGUCAGCUCGUGUCGUGAGAUGUUGGGUUAAGUCCCGCAACGAGCGCAACCCUUGUCCUUAGUUGCUACGCAAGAGCACUCUAAGGAGACUGCCGGUGACAAACCGGAGGAGGGUGGGGAUGACGUCAAGUCCUCAUGGCCCUUAUGGGUAGGGCUUCACA
rnacentral:rRNA from 1 species